rnacentral:rRNA from 1 species
GUAACAAGGUUUCCGUACGGUGAACCUGCGGAAGGAUCAUUACCUAGAGUUUGUGGGCUUUGCCCGCUACCUCUUACCCAUGUCUUUUGAGUACUUACGUUUCCUCGGCGGGUCCGCCCGCCGAUUGGACAAAAUCAAACCCUUUGCAGUUGCAAUCAGCGUCUGAAAAACAUAAUAGUUACAACUUUCAACAACGGAUCUCUUGGUUCUGGCAUCGAUGAAGAACGCAGCGAAAUGCGAUAAGUAGUGUGAAUUGCAGAAUUCAGUGAAUCAUCGAAUCUUUGAACGCACAUUGCGCCCCUUGGUAUUCCAUGGGGCAUGCCUGUUCGAGCGUCAUUUGUACCUUCAAGCUUUGCUUGGUGUUGGGUGUUUGUCUCGCCUCUGCGUGUAGACUCGCCUUAAAACAAUUGGCAGCCGGCGUAUUGAUUUCGGAGCGCAGUACAUCUCGCGCUUUGCACUCAUAACGACGACGUCCAAAAGUACAUUUUUACACUCUUGACCUCGGAUCAGGUAGGGAUACCCGCUGAACUUAAGCAUAUC